rnacentral:lncRNA from 1 species
UCUGAAAAACCACAUCGCUGAGAAAUGAGUUCUGGAGACUCUCUUAACAGUCUGUUAUCCCUAGGAAGGAUAAGAGCAAGAAACAGCAAAUGCUUUUAUUACCUUCUCUUUUCCCUUUACCAUUUCUCACUAUUCAAGUUUUGUUAAGUUCUUGAUUUCCCUUCAGUGCAGCUGCAAGGUCACCAGCUAUUCUUGCCUCGUGAGACCUGUCACAGUUUGACUAGCUGCCUUUGUUCUGCUUCUGUAAGCCCUCUUGCCUGCCCCGCGAGUUUGGUGCCAUCAUAGUCCCACCAUGC